GAUGAACGCUGGCGGCGUGCCUAGUACAUGCAAGUCGAGCGAACAGACGAGGAGCUUGCUCCUCUGACGUUAGCGGCGGACGGGUGAGUAACACGUGGAUAACCUACCUAUAAGACUGGGAUAACUUCAGGAAACCGGAGCUAAUACCGGAUAAUAUAUUGAACCGCAUGGUUCAAUAGUGAAAGACGGUUUUGCUGUCACUUAUAGAUGGAUCCGCGCCGCAUUAGCUAGUUGGUAAGGUAACGGCUUACCAAGGCGACGAUGCGUAGCCGACCUGAGAGGGUGAUCGGCCACACUGGAACUGAGACACGGUCCAGACUCCUACGGGAGGCAGCAGUAGGGAAUCUUCCGCAAUGGGCGAAAGCCUGACGGAGCAACGCCGCGUGAGUGAUGAAGGUCUUCGGAUCGUAAAACUCUGUUAUUAGGGAAGAACAAAUGUGUAAGUAACUAUGCACGUCUUGACGGUACCUAAUCAGAAAGCCACGGCUAACUACGUG
rnacentral:rRNA from 1 species